GAGAGCAUAGUACAAUGAAAGUUGUAAGCUGUGUUCGGGGGGGAGUUAUUGUCUAUCGUUGGCCUCUAUGGUAGAAUCACGGGGGGCCCGAGAGGCGGUGGUUUACCCUGU
rnacentral:ncRNA from 1 species